rnacentral:rRNA from 1 species
CAGUAGCCGCGGUAAUACGAAGGGUGCAAGCGUUACUCGGAAUUACUGGGCGUAAAGCGUGUGUAGGUGGUUGUUUAAGUCUGUCGUGAAAUCCCCGGGCUUAACCUGGGAACUGCGCUUGUGACUGCACAGCUAGAGUAUGGCAGAGGGGGGUGGAAUUCCACGUGUAGCAGUGAAAUGCGUAGAGAUGUGGAGGAACACCGAUGGCGAAGGCAGCCCCCUGGGCCAAUACUGACGCUCAUGCACGAAAGCGUGGGGAGCAAACAGGAUUAGAUACCCGCGUAGUCCCUGUCUCUUAUAC